rnacentral:rRNA from 1 species
UACGGAGGGUGCAAGCGUUGCUCGGAAUCACUGGGCGUAAAGCGCACGUAGGCGGACUUUUAAGUCGGAGGUGAAAUCCUGGAGCUCAACUCCAGAACUGCCUUCGAUACUGAGAGUCUUCGAGUUCGGGAGAGGUGAGUGGAACUGCGAGUGUAGAGGUGAAAUUCGUAGAUAUUCGCAAGAACACCAGUGGCGAAGGCGGCUCACUGGCCCGAUACUGACGCUGAGGUGCGAAAGCGUGGGGAGCAAACAGG